rnacentral:rRNA from 1 species
UACGUAGGGUGCAAGCGUUGUCCGGAAUUAUUGGGCGUAAAGGGCUCGUAGGCGGUCCGUCACGUCGGGAGUGAAAUCCUGGGGCUUAACCCCAGAACUGCUUCCGAUACGGGCAGACUAGAGGUAGGUAGGGGAGAAUGGAAUUCCCGGUGUAGAGGUGAAAUUCGUAGAUAUCGGGAGGAACACCAGAGGCGAAGGCGGCCACCUGGACAGAGAUUGACGCUGAGACGCGAAAGCGUGGGGAGCAAACAGG